AGUGGCGUACGGGUGAGUAACACGUGGAUAACCUGCCCUUUAGUGGGGAAUACCGCUGGGAAACCGGCGACAAUACCGCAUAAGCUCGAGAGAGGAAAGCAGCAAUGCGCUGAAGGAGGGGUCCGCGGCCGAUUAGCUAGUUGGCAGGGUAAAAGCCUACCAAGGCUGUGAUCGGUAGCCGGCCUGAGAGGGCACACGGCCACACUGGCACUGAAACACGGGCCAGACUCCUACGGGAGGCAGCAGUGGGGAAUCUUGCACAAUGGGGGAAACCCUGAUGCAGCGACGCCGCGUGAGCGAUGAAGCCCUUCGGGGUGUAAAGCUCUUUCGGCAGGGACGAUUAUGACGGUACCUGCAGAAGCAGCUGCGGCUAACUACGUGCCAGCAGCCGCGGUAAUACGUAGGCAGCAAGCGUUGUUCGGAGUUACUGGGCGUAAAGGGUGCGUAGGCGGCUUCUUAAGUCUGGUGUGAAAUCUCCCGGCUCAACUGGGAGGGUGCGCCGGAUACUGAGGGGCUAGAGUGUGGGAGAGGAAAGUGGAAUUCCAGGUGUAGCGGUGAAAUGCGUAGAUAUCUGGAGGAACACCGGUGGUGUAAACGGCUUUCUGGACCAUUACUGACGCUGAUGCACGAAAGCGUGGGUAGCAAACAGGAUUAGAUACCCUGGUAGUCCACGCCCUAAACGAUGCAUAUUUGGUGUGGGCCAUUCAGUUGGUCCGUGCCGGAGCUAACGCGUUAAAUAUGCCGCCUGGGGAGUACAGUCGCAAGGCUGAAACUCAAAGGAAUUGACGGGGGCCCGCACAAGCGGUGGAGCAUGUGGUUUAAUUCGA
rnacentral:rRNA from 1 species